AUUUUCCUAGAGAGAAGGAGAGGUAGAGAGAGAAAGAGUGAAGAGAAGAACAAGAGUGUUGGAGGGGAAGCUUGAGGAAUCAAGUGGGUGACCUAGGAGCUGAAGUGAAGCUAGGAUUAAGGAUAAUGAACUUCAAAGACGUUGUGCAGGAGUAGUCUCGGUGAGUCUUUGCAUGGGGUAUCGGGAGCUU